AGAGGGUGCGAGCGUUAAUCGGAAUUACUGGGCGUAAAGCGCGCGUAGGUGGAUGAAUAUGUUGGCUGUGAAAGCCCCGAGCUCAACUUGGGAAGGCCAGCCAAAACUGUUCGUCUAGAGUAUGGUAGAGGAAAGUGGAAUUUCCGGUGUAGCGGUGAAAUGCGUAGAUAUCGGAAGGAACAUCAGUGGCGAAGGCGACUUUCUGGACCAAUACUGACACUGAGGCGCGAAAGCGUGGGGAGCAAACAGGAUUAGAUACCCUGGUAGUCCACGCCGUAAACGAUGAGAACUAGCUGUUGGGAGCGCAAGCUCUUAGUGGCGCAGCUAACGCGUUAAGUUCUCCGCCUGGGGAGUACGGCCGCAAGGUUA
rnacentral:rRNA from 1 species